rnacentral:rRNA from 1 species
GCCCCCCUCAAGAUGAGAUUUCCCAACUAGUAAGACCCCUUGAAGACGACGAGGUAGAUAGGUUGGAGGUGGAAGUGCAGCAAUGCAUGGAGCUGACCAAUACUAAUCGGUCGAGGGCUUAUCCAAAUUACCCCAAA